AACUUUAUAGUCAAAAAUGAUUUUAGACUGCAAUUCUAAAGAAAUAAUUAAAUAUUAUUAAAGUUU
rnacentral:tRNA from 1 species